rnacentral:rRNA from 1 species
GAUAUGUCCCGUCACCGCAUGGUGUGCGGGUGGAAAGAUUUUUCGGUUGGGGAUGGGCUCGCGGCCUAUCAGCUUGUUGGUGAGGUAAUGGCUCACCAAGGCGUCGACGGGUAGCCGGCCUGAGAGGGUGACCGGCCACACUGGGACUGAGACACGGCCCAGACUCCUACGGGAGGCAGCAGUGGGGAAUAUUGCACAAUGGGCGGAAGCCUGAUGCAGCAACGCCGCGUGAGGGAUGACGGCCUUCGGGUUGUAAACCUCUUUUAGCAGGGAAGAAGCGAGAGUGACGGUACCUGCAGAAAAAGCACCGGCUAACUACGUGCCAGCAGCCGCGGUAAUACGUAGGGUGCAAGCGUUAUCCGGAAUUAUUGGGCGUAAAGAGCUCGUAGGCGGUCUGUCGCGUCUGCUGUGAAAUCCCGAGGCUCAACCUCGGGCUUGCAGUGGGUACGGGCAGACUAGAGUGCGGUAGGGGAGAUUGGAAUUCCUGGUGUAGCGGUGGAAUGCGCAGAUAUCAGGAGGAACACCGAUGGCGAAGGCAGAUCUCUGGGCCGUAACUGACGCUGAGGAGCGAAAGGGUGGGGAGCAAACAGGCUUAGAUACCCUGGUAGUCCACCCCGUAAACGUUGGGAACUAGUUGUGGGGUCCUUUCCACGGAUUCCGUGACGCAGCUAACGCAUUAAGUUCCCCGCCUGGGGAGUACGGCCGCAAGGCUAAAACUCAAAGGAAUUGACGGGGACCCGCACAAGCGGCGGAGCAUGCGGAUUAAUUCGAUGCAACGCGAAGAACCUUACCAAGGCUUGACAUACACGAGAACGGGCCAGAAAUGGUCAACUCUUUGGACACUCGUGAACAGGUGGUGCAUGGUUGUCGUCAGCUCGUGUCGUGAGAUGUUGGGUUAAGUCCCGCAACGAGCGCAACCCUCGUUCUAUGUUGCCAGCACGUAAUGGUGGGAACUCAUGGGAUACUGCCGGGGUCAACUCGGAGGAAGGUGGGGAUGACGUCAAAUCAUCAUGCCCCUUAUGUCUUGGGCUUCACGCAUGCUACAAUGGCCGGUACAAUGGGCUGCGAUACCGU